GUGAAUCAUCGAAUCUUUGAACGCACAUUGCGCUUCGUGGUAUUCCGCGGAGCAUGCUCGUUUCAGAAUCAUUAACAACCUCACAACUGGUGGAAGUGUGUUGCUUGCAACCAAUCUGCCGAGUUGUGGAUGUGGGCACUUUGCUAUAGUCAAUUGCCUCAAAGUUAAAGAGUGCGUGCCUUCCUUUUCUCAAUUUGGAACAACCCUAGUGCAACAGCUAAGAUACACUCCGGGCCCACUUUGAGGAAGGUGCCACCUGUCGAGAACACAGAGCCCAACACAGCAGGAAUGCUCGGGCUC
rnacentral:misc_RNA from 1 species